rnacentral:rRNA from 1 species
UACGGGGGGGGCAAGCGUUGUUCGGAAUUACUGGCGUAAAGGGCUCGUAGGCGCCAACUAAGUCAGACGUGAAAUCCCUCGGCUUAACCGGGGAACUGCGUCUGAUACUGGAUGGCUUGAGUUUGGGAGAGGGAUGCGGAAUUCCAGGUGUAGCGGUGAAAUGCGUAGAUAUCUGGAGGAACACCGGUGGCGAAGGCGGCAUCCUGGACCAACACUGACGCUGAGUGAGCGAAAGCCAGGGGAGCAAACGGGG